rnacentral:rRNA from 1 species
CAGUCGCCGCGGUAAUACAGAGGGUGCGAGCGUUAAUCGGAUUUACUGGGCGUAAAGCGUGCGUAGGCGGCUUCUUAAGUCGGAUGUGAAAUCCCUGAGCUUAACUUAGGAAUUGCAUUCGAUACUGGGAAGCUAGAGUAUGGGAGAGGAUGGUAGAAUUCCAGGUGUAGCGGUGAAAUGCGUAGAGAUCUGGAGGAAUACCGAUGGCGAAGGCAGCCAUCUGGCCUAAUACUGACGCUGAGGUACGAAAGCAUGGGGAGCAAACAGGAUUAGAUACCCCAGUAGUCCAUGUCUCUUAUAC